UGCAGAGAGGGACACCAGGCCCAAAGCUGGCCACUAAGAUGAAGUGCCUGGACUGGGUCUGGAAGGGCUUGGCUUCCCGGGACCAUUUCAGAUGUGACACAGGCAACUAACCGGACAGGUUGGUGAGGAAUUCUGCAGAACAUGUGUCUCUGAGGACAAAAGGAAAGGAGAGGCUGGCUGGUGGAGGGACCAGCGAGGCCAGGGGGAAGGUCACAGCGUCGCCAGCUGCAAACACGCCCGGGACAUUGGUCUGCAUCAUCUGUGGGGAGGGGACCGGGACUCGUAGAAUUAGUGAGGGGGCACAACAAAGCUUAUUCAACCCUGAAGCGACCCUUUCUCCAGGAAUCCAUGUGGAGGUGAGAACUCAGUGCUGGAGCCUUGCUGACCUUGAGGGAGUGGCCCCCAUAGAGGACUGCGUCAUCCCUGAGGACUCAGGGGCACGUUUGGGGCCUGAGAAACAGUGUGUCCAAAGCUGGACGCAGCCCAG